ACUAGAAGUUUAGGGGUUGUUUUUGCAACCCUCACCCCUUUCCCCAAACCCUAGCCGCCACCAUUCCUCUGCCUCCUCUCCUCUCGCUCCGCUCUCUCUCCUGCCCAAGCGACGGCCGCCGCCGCGUGCCGUCCCCUCAUCCUCUUCUUCCCGCAGUUGGCGACCUCCCCCGCGCACUCCCUACUGCGAGCUGUUGCUGUCGCCGCGCCGUCGUCCUGCCAUCGCCAUCCUCUCGCUCCCGCGCCGCAUCCGCCAACGAGGAGGCCGGGACUGUCGGAUCCGGUGACUCCGGCCUCCUCGCCGGCAGAUCCGGCCGCCCUGAAGUGAGGGGAAGCCAGGAGCCGCCUUCUACUCUUCUACCUCUAUGCCCGGCACUGCCCCUCUCUCCCUCUCCCUCUCCCUCUCCAUCCUGUUCAUUUCCGGAUCAGCGGAUGCCUGCGAUUAGGCGGCCACGGACGUGCGUGUGGGACGUCGAGGAGACGGGGAAUCACUGGAUCCAGGAGGUCGGUGAACCGAUUUGGAGAGGGAGCUGCAUGAUCUGUGGCAUUGGUGUACCGUUUCGGACAGCGGCGGUCUCCAGUACGGCGGGUGCUGCUGGAUCUGCCGCAUGGAGGGCUCCUCGUCAGCUCCGUCCUACCUCUUCUUCUGCCUUUUUGGAAGGAGGUGAGGAGAGGAAAGUUUCCUCUGGAAUUUCAUACUGCAUGUUAUAUCUUUGCCAAGUUGGUGGUCUUAGUGUGAUACUGUGAUUAAUUUGGACCGAUGAAGAUAUGUGUAUUGAAUUUUUCUUUGCAAGUUUAAAUCAGUGUAACACUAUGAAUGUGAGCGUGUGAAUGCAGCUUGUAGUGAAGCUUUGUUGAGCUUACGCAAAGCAGAGAAGGGCAUCGGCGCGGGGCUCCUAGAGGAUGCUGCCACCUCCAUCCCCUUGCGUCACGGCCGUGCUGCCCUACUGGUCCUCUGGCACAGCAUCUAAGGUCAUCUGCCACCACAACCAGGUUGCAUCUCCACCGAAUGUGACCCCACUUUGAUGGCGGCGAGCUUUGCUUUGAUGUUAUGUGGGGCAUUCAGUAUCAGCGCCGGAACCGACGCCAACAGCCAGAGCAGGCGCCGUGAUGUUGGAUCAAGUUGUUAGGAUUAGUUUCAGUGAUUAAGUUUGUUAGGAAGAUUAAGUUGUUAGUUCCUGGUUAGUAGCUGUUUGGUUUUCCAUUGUAAGCCUAUAUAGGCCAUUCGGUUUAAGUGAUUAAUCAAGAAAGAAGUUAAUCCCA